rnacentral:lncRNA from 1 species
GCAAUAUGACCUCAUCCUCUUUUUAAAUAUCCAUUAUUUUAAUUCAUCAUUUGUUUCUCCUACUUCCAAUAUUAUCUUGUAAAUCGAUCAAUGUACUCUUGUAAUGUCUUUUUCUUAUUUUGUGUAAUCCCGCUAAGUACGUCCAUUAUGGUUGGUUAUCGCUUUCAAACAGUAAACAGUCACAUAGUUCCUUCCAUGAAUCUAUGAUUUCGUCUAGAAGGAUUUUAAAUUAGGUCAUAGUAGCUCCCAUAAUGGUUAACGCGAAGAUUUUGUGUAUCAUAAUUUCUUGGGUGUGAUAAUAAUCCAAUAUAUUGUCCACAUAUUUAGUGUAUUCGUUCGGAUCCGUCAUACCUCCCUAACUUUCUAACUUUAGGGGAUUUUUAAAGGAUCUCGAGAUCCCACUGUCAAGAAUGUAUAUGGAGAGCGGAUUUCUCUCUCAACUAGAGGUCGGUGUAUACGUGACAUGCCUUUCUCUUCUCCGUAAGUGGUGUGCUGGCGUGCUACAUGAACAACAAACUUUCGGUGGAGUAUGAUUGUCUCUUCUCUCUCUAAAGUCAGGUGGAGAAAUCUAAUGUCCUCUAUUUCAGUUGCGACUUGGUGAUAACAGUUGUUGGAAACAUUGCUGCCAAGGAUGUGUUUCCUAAACGAUAUCAUUUGUAUAACUUUUAGUAUCUUAA